rnacentral:rRNA from 1 species
UUUUAGAGAGUUUGAUCCUGGCUCAGGAUGAACGCUGGCGGCGUGUCUAAGGCAUGCAAGUCGAAUGGUAGUAGCAAUACUACCAUGGCAAACGGGAGAGUAACACAUUGGCAAUCUACCCCUAAGACAAGAAUAACCUUGCGAAAGCGAGAAUAAUACUUGAUGGUAUCAAUAAGCCCAAGCUUAUUGAUUAAAGCUCCGGCGCUUAGGGAGGAGCCUAUGGCCUAUCAGCUAGUUGGUGAGGUAAUGGCCCACCAAGGCUACGACGGGUAUGGGGUGCGAGAGCAUGGCCCCACUCACUGGGACUGAGACACUGCCCAGACUCCUACGGGAGGCUGCAGUCAAGAAUCUUCCUCAAUGGGCGAAAGCCUGAAGGAGCGACGCCGCGUGUAUGAAGAAGCCCCUCGGGGUGUAAAGUACUUUUAACUGUGAAAAAACAAUGAUGGUAGCAGUUGAAUAAGGGGCUGCUAACCUCGUGCCAGCAGCAGCGGUAAUACGAGGGCCCCAAGCGUUAUCCGGAUUCAUUGGGCGUAAAGCGUCCGUAGGUGGUUUAUCACAUCUUCUGUUAAAUCUCGGGGCUCAACCUCGAAUCAGCGGGAGAGAUGGAUAGACUAGAGACUGGAAGAGGCACAUGGAAUUGCUGGUGUAGGGGUUAAAUCCAUUAAUAUCAGCAAGAACAUCAAAUGCGAAGGCAAUGUGCUGGGACAGUUCUGACACUCAGUGGACGAAAGCGUGGGGAGCGAAUGGGAUUAGAUACCCCAGUAGUCCACGCCGUAAACGAUGGAUACUAAGCAUUGGAAGUAUCGACCCUUUCAGUGCUGCUAAUUUAAGUUAACACGUUAAGUAUCCCGCCUGGGGAGUACGGCCGCAAGGCUAAAACUCAAAGGAAUAGACGGGGACCCGCACAAGCGGUGGAGCAUGUGGUUUAAUUCGACGAUAAGCGAGGAACCUCACCAAGGCUUGACAUCUAGCUGCAAGGUCUGGAAACAGAUCCGCCUUUGAGGGUGCUAGACAGAUGCUGCAUGGUUGUCGUCAGCUCGUGUCGUGAGAUGUACCGUUAAGUCGGGAAACGAGCGCAACCCUGAUCCUAUGUUUUACAUGUCAUGGGAGACUGCCCGUUUUAAAUGGGAGGAAGGUGGGAUGACGUCAAAUCAGCAUGGUUCUUACGCCUUGGGCAACACACGUGCUACAAUGGGAGUAACAGAGGGAUGCCAAAUCGCGAGAUGGAGCGAACCCCUUAAAAGCUCUCUCAGUUCGGAUUGGAGGCUGAAAUUCGCCUCCAUGAAGUCGGAAUCGCUAGUAAUCGUGGAUCAGAACGCCACGGUGAAUACGUUCUCGGGUCUUGUACUCACCGCCCGUCACGUCAAGGGAGUUGGUAAUGCCCGAAGGCUCAUUUUAAUGGGACGAAGGCAGGACUGAUGACAGGGACGAAGUCGUAACAAGGCAUCCGUAGCGGAAGCUGUGGAUGGAUCACCUCCUUUCU